UGAACAUAUUUACUAAUAAUUAUACUACUGUACUGAAAAUCUGAAAUAUUUUUUACAAUAGAGUUUUGUUAUACUUUUUAGUCAAAUUGACAAUUAACCUGUUUUAUACCCAGGCACAUAAGCUGACUUCAUUUUUAAAAAAUAAUUCUUAUGUAUAAUUAUAAAACAUAUAAAUACCUAAUAUAUUUAAUAUACAUUUUAAUAUUUGUAAAUAUAGCAAAAGCAUUCACUGUGUACCAAUAAUAAUUGAUAGAGAAAAAUGAAAUAAUGUUUUUGAAAUAUACACAUGUGCAUACGCAUGAAUGCGUAAUUGUUCGAACUAUACAAUGUAUAAGUGGUGUUAUAGUUCGAAGUAAUGCAUAUAUUUUCCAAAAAAAACAAUAAUAAUCCCAAUACUACGUUAGACAUACAAAUUAUAAAUCUAUAUAGGUAUAAUUAAUAUUAAGUAGUAAUAUAAUUGCCAUACUAAAUGCUACAAUGUAUCAUUCCCAAGAUUUACUUUUAUUUCAGAUUUAUUAUUAAAAGCUGAUAUAAAUCUUCGGAAAACUAAUUAUUGGAAUAAAAUAGAAACAACUGUACCUCAAAAUGCUGUUACAUCUCUACUAUAUUGUGAACAGUUUUUUCCAAACAUGAAAAUCCUUUUACAAAAUUAAUGUUUGCUACUCUUUCAGUCUAUUGCAACCGUUGAAACGUCAUUUUUUACUUUAAAAAUAAUAAGCAUUUUAAAACGACUGAGCCAAGAUUGAACGGCUUAGUUCUAUUAAAUAUACACUAAGAUAUUAUAUUUACAAGAAAAAUGCAAUUAGAAAAUUGGUCAAUUUAAUAUUUAACAUUUAAAUAAUAAGAUAAUCAUUUUGGUGUGUAAUUUUUUUUGUAAUGAAUGUACACGUUCAUGAAGAAAAACAUCAUGUUGCAAUAGAUAAUAUUUAUUCAAAUCAAAAAUACGUAAGUGAUAUACAAUUUUCAUUUAGAUGUAAACAUUUUAUAAAAAGAAAAAAACAAAAUAAUACUGUGCAAUAUUUUGUACUGAUUUUUAAUAACUAAAACUUUAAAAGUAACUUUAAUAUACAAAAAAAAAAAAGAAAAUGUAUUAUUUUGAUAGUAUUUAAUAAUAACAUACAAAAAUGUAAAAAAUGAUGAGGCACUUUUUAGGUAACUAAUUAACACAAGUAAGCACAAACAUAUGUGUAUAAUAUUAAUAAUAUAUAUUAUAGGUCCUAUAAUAACAAAAGAA